GGAAGUUAAAGAAACUGUUUCUUAAUUUUUAACUAAAAAAGCUAAGAACUAGUUCUUAAUAAGGACUUUAAGAACAGGUUCUUAGCUUUUUUAGUUAAAAAUUAAGAAACAGUUUCAUAAUUUCC
rfam:Brassica oleracea var. oleracea cultivar TO1000 chromosome C2, whole genome shotgun sequence